AAACUCCAGGACCACAGAAAUAGGGAACUCAUAUGAUAAUAAACUCUAUGCUGAAAUCGGUUUACUUCGCUAGUGAUGUGAUGCAUGAGUUGUGUGCUAAUUUUGUCUGCAAGUUGAAGUCGGUUUAGCUCCAUCAGCAAUGCCUGUGGAGUUGUGGCUGUGGUUGGUACGUACUAACUAAUGGAGUAGUGGGUAGCUGUGGUGUGCCCUGCUGUUGGAAUGGUUCCGAUAACUUGUUAGUAGCAUGUUCUAUUAGUUCCAGAGAAAAAGUGAAAUCCCAGCUCCGCCUGCUUCAUGAUCCUCUGGUUCUGCUUUUACCUGCCUACUGUCAUGUGAAUUGGCUAACUGUGGCUCAUAUUCUUUUCCCCAGGUAGCUCAUGGUGUGUGUCACCGGUGCAGCGAUGCUCUGCUCUUGCGCACGGUGACCGGCGUGACGGCGGCUAUGUAUGGCAGCGACCACAAGCUCAUCGGGAAGUUGAAGAUUUCGCUAGGAGGCUCAAUUAUGUUUGGCCUGAAAGAAUGCAUUUGGGUCAAGAAAGAAGAAUUGAGUCGCAACUGAUUGGUGGUAAUGGUUCUCUGCAGAGAUUUUCUGAUGGUAUGAUGUGGUGGUUAUCUUUUUUCGUUGCUGGAACCUGGAUGUCAUAUGUUAUGUGAUUUGAGCCAAAUGGCAUAUUGUAAUCUUUUUAUUGCUGGUUUUUAUGUAUGAUGUCAUGAAGAUGUACGUUUGAAAUGUUGCUUUGAUAGCAAAA